rnacentral:rRNA from 1 species
CUCAUCACAUCCUGGGGCUGAAGUAGGUCCCAAGGGUAUGGCUGUUCGCCAUUUAAAGUGGUACGCGAGCUGGGUUUAGAACGUCGUGAGACAGUUCGGUCCCUAUCUGCCGUGGGCGCUGGAGAAUUGAGGGGGGCUGCUCCUAGUACGAGAGGACCGGAGUGGACGCAUCACUGGUGUUCGGGUUGUCAUGCCAAUGGCACUGCCCGGUAGCUAAAUGCGGAAGAGAUAAGUGCUGAAAGCAUCUAAGCACGAAACUUGCCCCGAGAUGAGUUCUCCCUGAGACUUUAAGUCUCCUGAAGGAACGUUAAAGACGAUGACGUUGAUAGGCCGGGUGUGUAAGCGCAGCGAUGCGUUGAGCUAACCGGUACUAAUGAACCGUGAGGCUUAACCUUACAACGCCGAAG